rnacentral:rRNA from 1 species
GGACCCGACCGCUAUGGGGGUGGGACUAAGCCAUGCAAGUCGCGCGCCCCAGGCUAUGGUGGGGCGCGGCGGACGGCUCCGUAAAACGUGGCUAACCUACCCUCAGGACGGGGAUAACCCCGGGAAACUGGGGCUAAUCCCCGAUAGGGGGAAAGACCUGGAAGGGCUUUCCUCCGAAAUGGUGUUAAGGCCAUGCCCCUUAACACCGCCUGAGGAUGGGGCCACGGCCCAUCAGGUUGUUGGUGGGGUAACGGCCCACCAAGCCUAUAACGGGUACGGGCCGUGAGAGCGGGAGCCCGGAGAUGGGCACUGAGACAAGGGCCCAGGCCCUACGGGGCGCAGCAGGCGCGAAAACUCCGCAAUGCGCGAAAGCGCGACGGGGUCACCCCCAGUGCCAUCCGCUAAGGAUGGCUUUUCCCCGGUGUAAGGAGCCGGGGGUAAUAAGCGGGGGGCAAGCCUGGUGUCAGCCGCCGCGGUAAUACCAGCCCCGCGAGUGGUCGGGACGUUUAUUGGGCCUAAAGCGUCCGUAGCCGGCCCAAUAAGUCCUCGGCUAAAGCCCACGGCUCAACCGUGGGACGGCCGAGGAUACUGUUGGGCUAGGAGGCGGGAGAGGCCGAGGGUACUUCCGGGGUAGGGGCGAAAUCCUAUAAUCCCGGAAGGACCACCAGUGGCGAAGGCGCUCGGCUGGAACGCGCUCGACGGUGAGGGACGAAAGCCGGGGGAGCGAAGGGGAUUAGAUACCCCCGUAGUCCCGGCUGUAAACGAUGCGGGCUAGGUGUUGGGUGGGCUUCGAGCCCACCCAGUGCCGCAGCGAAGGCAUUAAGCCCGCCGCCUGGGGAGUACGGCCGCAAGGCUGAAACUUAA